GGGGAAUAUUGGACAAUGGGGGAAACCCUGAUCCAGCAAUGCCGCGUGAGUGAUGAAGGCCUUCGGGUUGUAAAGCUCUUUUGUCAGGGACGAUGAUGACGGUACCUGACGAAUAAGCUCCGGCUAACUUCGUGCCAGCAGCCGCGGUAAUACGAGGGGAGCUAGCGUUGUUCGGAAUUACUGGGCGUAAAGGGCGUGUAGGCGGUAUCAUAAGUCAGAUGUGAAAGCCCUAGGCUUAACCUAGGAGGUGCAUUUGAUACUGUGGAACUAGAGAUCGAGAGAGGAAAGUGGAAUUACGAGUGUAGAGGUGAAAUUCGUAGAUAUUCGUAAGAACACCAGUGGCGAAGGCGACUUUCUGGCUCGAUACUGACGCUAAGGCGCGAAAGCGUGGGGAGCAAAC
rnacentral:rRNA from 1 species